rnacentral:lncRNA from 1 species
GUGGUGUGCUGAUUUGGCCGAGCUCUCGCCCAUUUGUAACGGAGUCUGGACAGUGCAGGACGGCUGGUGGUUUGUACUUUUAGAUGACAUGAAAGGACAGUGGAUAGAAGUGGUAGUAAACCAGUGAAUUUAUAUAUAUGAACAGUGUUCAGAGGUUACUCAAACUCCUCUCCUCACAUAUCAUACGCAGUGAGAAAGGAAAGG